GUCGGAAUAGCUUAGCUUGGAGAGCGUUAGACUGCAGAUCUAAAGGCCCCCGGUUCAAUCCCGGGUUCCGGCA